AAUCAACGCUGGCGGCGUGCCUCAGACAUGCAAGUCGAACGCGAAAGUUCCCUUCGGGGGAUGAGUAGAGUGGCGCACGGGUGAGUAACACGUAGGUAAUCUACCUUCGGAUGGGGAAUAACAACCGGAAACGGUUGCUAAUACCGCAUAAUGCAGCGGCACCUAAUGGUGACAGUUGUUAAAGCGGGGGAUCGAAAGACCUCGCGUCUGAAGAGGAGCCUGCGGCGGAUUAGCAGUUGGUAGGGUAACGGCCUACCAAGGCUACGAUCCGUAGCCGGCCUGAGAGGGCGGUCGGCCACACUGACACUGACAUACGGGUCAGACUCCUACGGGAGGCAGCAGUCGGGAAUUUUGGGCAAUGGGCGAAAGCCUGACCCAGCAACGCCGCGUGAAGGAUGAAAUCCCUCGGGAUGUAAACUU
rnacentral:rRNA from 1 species